rnacentral:rRNA from 1 species
AGUUUGAUCAUGGCUCAGGACAACGCUGGCGGCGUGCUUAACACAUGCAAGUCGAACGGUGAAGGAAGAGCUUGCUCUUCCGGAUCAGUGGCGAACGGGUGAGUAACACGUGGGCAACCUGCCCCUGACUCUGGGAUAACUCCUCGAAAGAGGUGCUAAUACCGGAUACGACCACUUCGGACAUCCGAUGGUGGUGGAAAGUUUUUCGGUCAGGGAUGGGCCCGCGGCCUAUCAGCUAGUUGGUGGGGUAAUGGCCUACCAAGGCGACGACGGGUAGCCGGCCUGAGAGGGCGACCGGCCACACUGGGACUGAGACACGGCCCAGACUCCUACGGGAGGCAGCAGUGGGGAAUAUUGCGCAAUGGGCGAGAGCCUGACGCAGCGACGCCGCGUGAGGGAUGAAGGCCUUCGGGUUGUAAACCUCUUUCAGCAGGGACGAAGCGAAAGUGACGGUACCUGCAGAAGAAGCACCGGCUAACUACGUG